rnacentral:rRNA from 1 species
GACGAACGCUGGCGGCGUGCUUAACACAUGCAAGUCGAACGGAAAGGCCCUGCUUUUGUGGGGUGCUCGAGUGGCGAACGGGUGAGUAACACGUGAGUAACCUGCCCUUGACUUUGGGAUAACUUCAGGAAACUGGGGCUAAUACCGGAUAGGAGCUCCUGCUGCAUGGUGGGGGUUGGAAAGUUUCGGCGGUUGGGGAUGGACUCGCGGCUUAUCAGCUUGUUGGUGGGGUAGUGGCUUACCAAGGCUUUGACGGGUAGCCGGCCUGAGAGGGUGACCGGCCACAUUGGCACUGAGAUACGGCCCAGACUCCUACGGGAGGCAGCAGUGGGGAAUAUUGCACAAUGGGCGGAAGCCUGAUGCAGCAACGCCGCGUGCGGGAUGACGGCCUUCGGGUUGUAAACCGCUUUCGCCUGUGACGAGGCGUGAGUGACGGUAAUGGGUAAAGAAGCACCGGCUAACUACGUG